rnacentral:rRNA from 1 species
GUGACUGCAGGACACAUGAACACCGACAAGUUGAACGCAUAUUGCACAUCGUACAACAGUACGAUGUACACAUUUUUGAGUGCCUAUAUUUAUCUAUUCAACUAUACGUGUGUGCGCGUUUCACUUCGGGUGGACAGGCGCACGGCCCAUAAGCACGUAUGCGUAGUGAUGCGUUGCCCGCCUUCGGUGGCGGUCAAACAUUGAAGAUAGUCAGGCGCGGCGUCCUCGCGACGACGUGGUUGAUGAAUACAUCCCAUAUGCCACACCAUCGCGUUGGAUAUGUUGUAUUCCAUCACACACAAUAGUAAUACCUAUGAGGCCUCAAAUAAU